rnacentral:misc_RNA from 1 species
GAUGAAGAACGUAGCGAAAUGCGAUAAGUAAUGUGAAUUGCAGAAUUCCGUGAAUCAUCGAAUCUUUGAACGCAUAUUGCGCCCUCUGGCAUUCCGGAGGGCAUGCCUGUCCGAGCGUCAUUGCUGCCCUCAAGCACGGCUUGUGUGUUGGGCCUCCGUCCUCCUCCCGGGGGACGGGCCCGAAAGGCAGCGGCGGCACCGCGUCCGGUCCUCGAGCGUAUGGGGCUUCGUCACCCGCUCUUGUAGGCCCGGCCGGCGCUUGCCGACACAUCAAUCUUUUUUCCAGGUUGACCUCGGAUCAGGUAGGGAUACCCGCUGAACUUAAGCAUAUCAAUAAGCGGAGGA